AAAAAGUAAUGAACAGUUUCUCAUAGAUGUCCAUGAUCUUGUUUCCCAGAACCUCUGAAUAUAUUACUUUACAUGAGAACAAAGUGACUUCGAAGAUGUGAUUAAGUUAAGGAUCUCAAUAUGGACUGAUUGUACUGGAUUAUCUGAGAGGUCCCAGGGUCCUUACAUAAAACAAGCAGGAACAGAGAAAGAAAUAAAGGAAAUGGAAGAAGAUGCUAUGCUGCUGGCUUUACAGCUCUUUUCACUUAUGGAUAUGAAACCUCCCAUCUCUAGAGCCAAGAUGAUUCUCAUUACUAAAGCUGCUAUAAAAGCUAUUAAGGUAAGAAUAAAAUAAAUAUAUUUAAUAUAAAAUGUUUUUGAAAUUUUGAAA
rnacentral:lncRNA from 1 species